rnacentral:rRNA from 1 species
CAGUAGCCGCGGUAAUACGUAGGGUGCGAGCGUUAAUCGGAAUUACUGGGCGUAAAGCGUGCGCAGGCGGUGAUGUAAGACAGUUGUGAGAUCCCCGGGCUCAACCUGGGAACUGCAUCUGUGACUGCAUCGCUGGAGUGCAGCAGAGGGGGAUGGAAUUCCGCGUGUAGCAGUGAAAUGCGUAGAUAUGCGGAGGAACACCGAUGGCGAAGGCAAUCCCCUGGGCCUGCACUGACGCUGAGGCACGAAAGCGUGGGGAGCAAACAGGAUUAGAUACCCCGGUAGUCCCUGUCUCUUAUAC